AAGAGCCGUGUGAUGGAGACUAUCAAGCCCGGUUCUGUGAGAGGCUUAGGGAGAAGUUCCCUUUGCCUACUCGAC
rfam:Geofilum rubicundum JCM 15548 DNA, contig: JCM15548.contig00093.